CUUAUGUUAACAUAUAAUGAACCAAUUUGAAUUUAAAUUUCUCUAGUGCCUUUCAAUAUUAUACUGUAGAUAUACAGUACUGGGAAAAGAUGAAGAGCUACUUUUCACUGAUUUGAAAAGGCAAAGAUGUCCCAGGUUAAGCAAGUGGGUCUUUUAGCUGCUGGAUGUCAGCCAUGGAACAAAGAUGUGUGCGCUGCUAGUGGGGAUAGAUUUGCCUACUGUGCCACACUUGCAAUUUAUGUUUACCAGAUGGAUCACAGAUACAAUGAAUUCAAGCUCCAGGCAAUUAUGUCUGAGCAUAAGAAGACAAUCACAGCUAUAUCUUGGUGUCCCCAUAACCCUGAUGUAUUUGCAAGUGCCAGUGCAGAUAACCUAGUGAUCA